rnacentral:rRNA from 1 species
AGUGAACGCUGGCGGUAGGCCUAACACAUGCAAGUCGAACGGCAGCACAGUAAGAGCUUGCUCUUACGGGUGGCGAGUGGCGGACGGGUGAGGAAUACAUCGGAAUCUACUUUUUCGUGGGGGAUAACGUAGGGAAACUUACGCUAAUACCGCAUACGACCUACGGGUGAAAGCAGGGGAUCUUCGUACCUUGCGCGAUUGAAUGAGCCGAUGUCGGAUUAGCUAGUUGGCGGGGUAAAGGCCCACCAAGGCGACGAUCCGUAGCUGGUCUGAGAGGAUGAUCAGCCACACUGGAACUGUGACACGGUCCAGCCUCCUACGGGAGGCAGCAGUGGGGAAUAUUGGACAAUGGGCGCAAGCCUGAUCCAGCCAUACCGCGUGGGUGAAGAAGGCCUUCGGGUUGUAAAGCCCUUUUGUUGGGAAAGAAAAGCAGCAGGUUAAUACCCCGCUGUUCUGACGGUACCCAAAGAAUAAGCACCGGCUAACUUCGUG